rnacentral:lncRNA from 1 species
AGGGCCACACCCAUGGCAUGUGGAGGUUCCCAGGCUGGGGGUCGAAUCGGAGCUACAGCACCUUAUGCCACAGCCACAGCACCUUACGCCACAGCCACAGCAACGCCAGAUCCGAGUCGCAUCUGCAACCUAUGCCACAGCUCACGGCAAUGCCAGAUCCUUAACCCACUGAGAGAGGCCAGGGAUUGAACCCACAACCUCAUGGUUCCUAGUCGGAUUCAUUUCCACUGCGCCAUGACGAGAAUUCCCUGUGCCAUAUUUUAGAUUCCACAUAUAAGUGAUAUCACAUGGUAUUUGUCUUUCUCUCUCAAACUUACUUUACUUACGAUAAUCUCUAGUUGCAUCCAUGUUGUUGCAAAUGGCACUAUUUAAUUCAUUUCUAUAUAUGUAUAUACAUGCCUGAGUAGUCUAUUGUAUAUAUAUAUAUACUAAUCUUUUUAAUCCAUUCAUCUGCCAAUGAACAUUUAGGCUGCUUCUAUGUAGAAAAACUACGUUCAAGGUACCGAUAUUUAUCUGGAUAUGAAAUGCUUGUAAAUGUACUCCUAAAACUCAUGUGAGUCUCAUAACUUUAUUGUCUUAACUUACAAAGGACUGAGGAACAGUUUGAUAUAACCAAGAGUGUGGUUCUAUCAUACUCUAUAUAUAAGAGGGAAGACUGGGGAAAAAAUAGGGGUGUAAAUGGUGGCAGAGAUGUGUGGAUAAGGCAAAAGUAGACCCAAAGAGAAGAGUAAUACAAAACAAACAAUAAAUGCCAGAGAUGGAAGCACUGUGUUAAUUAUGGCUAAAAUCAGCUAAUAGGCCCCCUUCCCCAUCUGAAGCUUUUCGGGUAACACUGUCAGCCAGCCCUGUGCGAUCCAGAGUGAAGUGAAGUGGGAAUGGAAACGGGCAGAAACAGACAGGAAAGUCUCCCACUUCCAUGUAAGCCCAAGAAGGGCUUUAUUAACAUAUACUAGAGAAUUAGACUUUGCACAUUUGUUGGCUCCUUUACAUUAGACAGAGAAAUUUGAUUAAUGUCAAUUCUGCAAAGAACCAGCUGUAAAAAAGAACGAGCUGUAAAACUUGCCUGUCACUAAAUUAACAAAUUAAGGAGCAAGAGUUAUUCAAAUAAAUAAUUUUACACACCUGUAUGAAUACUCAAGAUAAAUGAAAAUACAUAUCCACACAAAACUUGUACAAGAAUAUUCAUAAGUGGGAUUAUUUAUAAUAACCAAAGAGUAAAAACUAUCAACGUGUCCAUCAAUUAUGAAUGGAUAAACAAAAUGGGUUAUGCAGUGGAAUAUUAUCUGGCAAUAGAAAAUAAAUAAAGUACUUUAUAUGACAGAACAUGGAUGAAUUCUGAAAACAUUAUGCUAGGUGAAAGAAGCCAGUCAUAAAAACCACAUAUUAUAUGAUUCCAUUCAUAUAAAAUAUGCAGAAUAUGCAAAUUCAUAGAGACAAAAAAUAGAUUAGUUGCUUUCAGGGGAUAAAGAGAGGACAUGAGCAGAGGAAUGGGAAUGAGGAGUGAUUGCUAACAGGUAUAAGGCUUCUUGUUGGGAUGAUGAAAAUGUUCUAAAGUUGAGUAUAGUGAUGGUUGCACAAUUGUGUGAAUACACUGAAAACCACUGAAUUAUACACUUUAAAUGGAUAAAUUGUAAGGUGUAUUAAAUAUAGGCUGAAAAAUCUGGUUUUGGGGGUAUUUUUUUAAGGAGAUUCUUAAAGCCUGGACAGGGGCUAUGUCAGCUGACUGUAAUUCAGAUUUAGCUAAAUUAUCUUAUAGGCCUAUUCAAGCCCAGAGUCAGCUUCUAAAACUGCAAAAAUCUGAACGUUGAUUUAAUUUUUUAAAAAAUAACUGACAUUAAGAUGUUGGACCUCAUCUCUGCUCUUUCUCUACAACUCUAUACCACUUGUUCAAUUGGUUUAAGAAGAAACAUAUCUGAAAUAACAACGGAACUCAUUCACUGAGAUCACAAGUGUUUACUGAGCAUCUAUUAUGUGACGGAUGGCUUUCCAGGCUCCAGGAAUUCAACAAUGAGACACAAAGUCUCUGCUUAAAAGAUGCUUACAAUACAUUCACCAGGUAGUCUCAAGAAACCUGAGUGCUACAAAAGGGUAAGUGUUGAAUACUUCAGGAGCAUAAUCUGGGGUUGGUGUGUCAGUACGGGAAUACGGAAGAAGGAAUGCCUCAACCCAGGCAUGAAUAAUAACUAAAAUUGAUAGAAAAAUAGUGAGGCUUGACAGGAGUGUUCUAGGCAGAUGGAGUAAGUACAAAGACCCAGAUGCAAUAGUGAGCAGGGAUAAUUAAGGAAUAAAGCACUUUGAUGUGCCUGGAGCAUAAACUGCAAGAAUUGGGGUUGCAUAGCAGGGAGGGCUGAUAUAGCUGAAGCUGGUGAAGACCGAGACCUUUAAAAAUUUUUUUUUUUCCCUUUUUAGGGCCGCAUGAGUGGCAUAUGGAAGUUCCCAGGCUAGGGGUCAAACUGGAACUACAGCUGCUGGGCUAUGCCACAGCCAUAGCAGCACGGGAUCUGAGCAGGGUCCACCUAUACCACAGCUCACUGCAAUGCUUGAUCCUUAACCCACUGAGCAAGGCCAGGGAUGGAACCCGCGUCCUCAUGGAUACUAGUCGGAUUUGUUUCUGCUGUGCCACAAUGGGAACUCCCCCUUUUAAAUUUGUAAUGUGACAAAAGACUUGGGAGCCAAGCUGAAGAGAUCAAAGUGCAUCCUGAGGGAAAGAGAGAACUAAAGGACUUUAGUAAUGGGAAAAGAGCUGAUCAGAAUUUAGUUUUCUAAGAUCACUCCAGCUGCACCAUGGACAUUGAAUUAGAGGGGGUGUGGAAUUAGAUUGGAGGCAGGGAAGGGGGAGAGAAGACGGUUGGUGUGAUCUAGAGAAGGACUGGUGGUGUCCGGGGUCAGUAUGUGAGGAAGGUUAGAAAAAGGAGUGGACAGGAUACAGAGAUAUUUAGGAGGUAGCACUUUUAAGACCACGUGAUUGGCUAGAUGAGGGAAUGAUGAGAGGAGGAGCCUUAGGAUGGUGGCUAGGUUUCUGGCAGAGAUCACUGUGGGGUACCAGCCACUAAAACAGAAAACUAUGUUUUAAAAAUCAGGUUUGAAGGUAAGAUAAGUUCAGUUGUAUAGUCAAAGCAGAUCUCCAACAGACAACUGAGAUAUACAACACGAAGGCAAAUGAUUAUAACCAAAGUCACACAGGGCAUGAUGAGUAGAUGCAGAAAGAGAAGAGUGCUCAGGUCAAGCCUCUAAAGCCAACUGACAUUUAUGGGAUGGACAGAUCAGGGGAGGUGGCAAAGAAAACUGCAAAGGAAUGGC